UUUUUUGAGAACGUUCCCAUCUACUUAUCACUAGUCUUCGUAUGAAAAAGCCGAACUUGUUUGAUAUUUAUACUAAGAAAAAAUUUUCGAGGAUUUGGUCUUUUCAAUGGAUUGAUUUUAUUUCUCACAUAAUGAAAUGCAUGUUGAUGACUGUAUGAUUAGUUUAAAAGAGAUAAAACUUAUUUUAAACAAAAGUAAAGUGCAAAUUGUUACACUCGCAUUGAUGAGAGUCUGUAGCUUCCUUUCGAAAACUUGAAAUUUCUAUCACUGCU